UGGAACAGAUCACUUCAAACCACAACUGCAAUACAGGGAACAGAAAAGUAUCCCAUAGCUGCAAUACAGGGAACAGAACAUUAUCCCAUAGCUGCAGGAUCCAUGUUGGAACGCAGAGUGGCACACAAGAUGAAAUACUUCACAGUUGAGACUGGCAGUACUUUGAGUUCUCAUAUUCAGUUUAUGAGACGACUCAACACCACAAGAUGUUUUACGGAAGUCAA